rnacentral:ncRNA from 1 species
UUUCCCUCAGCACAGCUGGAGUUCAAUUCGUUUAAGGCGGACGGUAAGAGGUAUCGGGGACGCGUUGUCCGCCUUUUCUUCAGCUCUAAAUGGGUAAGAAUCAAUGCAUACUCAAUUGAACUGCUGGGGUUACAAUGAACCUCAAGUGGGCCACUUCCGGUAAGCAGAACUGGCACGAGAGAUGCUCU